CUACGGGAGGCACCAGUGAGGAAUAUUGCACAAUGGGGGGAACCCUGAUGCAGCAACGCCGCGUGGAGGAUGACGCAUUUCGGUGUGUAAACUCCUUUUAUAUGUCAAGAAAAUGACGGUAGCAUAUGAAUAAGCACCGGCUAACUCCGUGCCAGCAGCCGCGAGUAAUACGGAGGGUGCAAGCGUUACUCGGAAUCACUGGGCGUAAAGGACGCGUAGGCGGGUUGGAAAGUCAGGUGUGAAAUCCUACAGCUUAACUGUAGAACUGCACUUGAAACUUCUAAUCUAGAGUAUGGGAGGGGGAGAUGGAAUUAGUGGUGUAGGGGUAAAAUCCGUAGAUAUCACUAGGAAUACCUAAAGCGAAGGCGAUCUCCUGGAACAUUACUGACGCUAAGGCGUGAAAGCGUGGGGAGCAAACAGGAUUAGAUACCCUGGUAGUC
rnacentral:rRNA from 1 species